UGGGGAAUAUUGGACAAUGGGGGCAACCCUGAUCCAGCCAUGCCGCGUGCGUGAAGAAGGCCUUAGGGUUGUAAAGCGCUUUCAGCGGGGACGAUGAUGACGGUACCCGCAGAAGAAGCCCCGGCUAACUCCGUGCCAGCAGCCGCGGUAAGACGGAGGGCGCAAGCGUUGUUCGGAAUUACUGGGCGUAAAGCGCGGGCAGGUGGUUCGUUAAGUCGUCUGUGAAAAUCCGGGGCUCAACCCCGUGAAAUGCAGGCGAUACUGGCGGACUGGAGAUCGGUAGAGGCUAGCGGAGUUCCUGGUGUAGCGGUGGAAUGCGUAGAUAUCAGGAAGAACACCCGUGGCGAAGGCGGCUAGCUGGGCCGAGUCUGACACUCAUCCGCGAAAGCGUGGGGAGCAAACAGGAUUAGAUACCCCCGUAGUCC
rnacentral:rRNA from 1 species